AACGAACGCUGGCGGCAGGCCUAACACAUGCAAGUCGAACGCCCUAGCAAUAGGGAGUGGCAGACGGGUGAGUAACACGUGGGAACCUUCCCUAUAGUACGGAAUAUACCAGGGAAACUUGGAGCAAUACCGUAUACGCCCGAGAGGGGAAAGAUUUAUCGCUAUAGGAUGGGCCCGCGUAGGAUUAGCUAGUUGGUGAGGUAAUGGCUCACCAAGGCGACGAUCCUUAGCUGGUUUGAGAGAACGACCAGCCACACUGGGACUGAGACACGGCCCAGACUCCUACGGGAGGCAGCAGUGGGGAAUAUUGGACAAUGGGCGCAAGCCUGAUCCAGCCAUGCCGCGUGAGUGAUGAAGGCCUUAGGGUUGUAAAGCUCUUUUGCCGGGGACGAUAAUGACGGUACCCGCAGAAGAAGCCCCGGCUAACUUCGUGCCAGCAGCCGCCGUAAC
rnacentral:rRNA from 1 species